GAGGGCUUUCCCUUGCCUUUGAAACCCGCUCUGUGCGUACAUGUGGCAGGCCAGAGAUGCCGGGGAGUUCCUGCCCGGUAUCCCAGCAGCCAUUUGCCUGUGGUAGACAGGAAUUCAGAUAACACCUACCAUACGUGACAUGGGUCUUAGAAGAUGGAGAAGAGAUGGACCCUGUCCUCAAAGAACCUAUGAUCAGGCACAACCAGCGAUAUUAUUUGCGGGAUGUACUGGAGAGGAGACGUGCGUCUUUGAGUGCAGCUUCAGAGAGGAGUAGCCACCGCAGUUCCCGACCUGUACAUUUCCAGCACCCAGCAAAGUUCCAGAUGGCAGGGCCUUCAGCUUGACUCCCUGACUGAAGAAAGCAUGAAGCACAGCAGAGUCUCCAGCUGAUCUGUUGCAGACAUAGAGCAUGAACAGGAAAUCAACCUUUGUUAACAUUUUAAGGUUCAUUGAACAAUUAUGUGGCCAAAUGGAGAGAAGAAGGAAAGGAGAGAAAGAGAAAAAGAAGGAAACAAAUUUAGGGACUUAUGGGUGGCAAUGUGGAAAUAAUAUUUGCAAAUUGGGGAAAUUGGUCUUUGCCUUUCUAGUUUAUAUUUUGAGCUUCCCUCUAAAAACUCCGUAUUCUAGUCACCUUCUCUGCUACCCCACUUUACUUGUUUCCCACAGUUGCCUUCUUUUCAGUACACCUUCUGAUUAGUUAUGAUGGGUUAGUUGUUCAGAUAAGAUGCAUCCUUGCUAUGGGGUGAAGGACUCUAUGAUCCCUCUUGAUUAACGUAAUGCAUACUUCUGUUGGCCUUCCCUUGGUGGCUCAUACUACACCUCAGUGGUAAUUCUAGGUCUCCAGGAUACACUAUUUGAAAAAUUAUAACUUUAAUUUCUUUAGUGGCCCUUUGGGAAGACACAAACCGAUUUUCACUUCCCAGUGCACAAUGAAAAUUCCAGAUCUCUUGUUCAAAAGUGAUUUAGAAUUUCAAAAUGGCCACAGCAGAGCAUUAAACCAAGAGUGAGGUCCCUCCAAGUAUGGGGCUCUGGGGAACUGCACAGGUCGCAAAGCCACGAAGUCAGCCCUUGUGUCGGAUACAGGAGUUAUCGAAGACUUCAAGUCCUACAAUGUCAGUGACAGUCAAUUCUGGUGAUACAGAAAUCCUCCCUACACUGGCAACACCUUCAUCUGCCUCCUCCUAUUGACGAGGUGUGUCCUAACUAUCAUAUGAAAGCAUGGACUUCCAAGAAUCUAUUGUCUAAGUAGUUUGAUAACCUUCAGGAAUGUUGCCUGCUAAUCUUUGUUCUCUGCAGAGAAAAUGGGAUGCAUUCCAGGAUCAAAGCAACAGCUUCACUCAGCUUCUUCCAACCACCCUUCAAGAUCCUGCUAUGGAUUGAAUGUUUGUGUCCCCACAAAAUGCCUGUGUUAAAACCUAAUCUCCAAAGUGAUGGUCUGUAGAGGUGAGGCUUUUGGGAAGUGAU